CGCCGCUAGGCACUUGGUGCCUCUUCGUUUGGCCCCUGGGAGGAAGAAGCGCUCUUGGCCGUACAUCUCAGAUCAAGGGCCAGGAAUGAAUGUAGGCAUUCCAGGGAUCGUAUUGAAUCAGGACCGCAAAUUUGAAGAUCCUACGGCUGUCGUCAGGUACCGACUCAUAAAAUCCUAAGUCUAAUCUGGUCCAUUGAUGGAUGAUCCAGCGGCUGUGGCGUGAAAAUACCCUUUCGCCAUGCGUUUUUCACAAAACAACCCUCGUCUUGUUCAAAAAUAAACCCGCCGUCCUCGCGGGAGUAGUCUGAGUCUGGUAGAGUUUUAUAAAUUUAACCCUAGGCUCUCUGAUAUUAGUGUCCUAGGUCCAGAACACUUUGGAUAUUCAGAAAUUAAUAAAGAAAUAGGUUUUUAGUAUAAGAAUAAAUCCAUAAAUUUGUUUAAUUCGUAUUUAAUUCAUUCUAACUCUGAAUUGACCCAUUCCAGUUUCUAUAAUUUUGUAUUAAUAUUGUUUAUCACCUAGUACCUUUGUUUAACCAUGAAACUUGAAUUAAAAUUGCUCAAUUGAAUUAAUCUAUUCUAGGUGCUAAAUAAUUUCAGAAAUUCAUAACUCAAUAUCCGUAACUCCGUUUUAAUCCAUUCUAGUUGCAUUAGUCUCACUAUAAUAUUUAUUAUCAUUUGGUAACUUUGUUUUGUCAUGAGAUAUAGGUUUAAAUGUUGCACUUAGUCUAUUAUAUACUUAACAACGUGGAUCUUCGGAAAACCAUAACUUCUUAACCGUAGCUCCGAAUUUAGCGAUUCUCGAACCCACGAUCUCGUAGCGACACGUAGAUAUUAUUAUGCAGUUUAUUCUUAUGUUUGGUGUGUUGUUAAUUUUGCCUACACCAUGUUUGUCUGUAUUGCUACGUUUAGCAGUGAGGACACGUGUCAUCUUAAGAGCAAGUUGGUACCUGGAAUCUCAAGUGCCAGGCAAGUUGUGCCCUUGAUCACUUCU
rnacentral:lncRNA from 1 species